AAAGAGAAAAAAGGAAGCAUUGAUGAAAUAACCACAAAAGAUUCUUUAAAAAGGACAUUUCCGAUAUUCGCAGACGAAACAAAAUAAUGCGUAAAGCGAAAUGUCUAAAGAGUUAUGAUAACGAUACACAUCUAAACCGACGAACAGAAAACGUAUUUGCAAGACAGUUGAGCGAUUACUUAGUUAAUGAAUUAAAUCAAAACAAGCUUUCUGUUUUUAUCACUUGCCGUAAGUGCUGAAGAAUGAAGUGGUAACUUGAAAUUAAAAUUGAUCAACCACAUAAAUUAGACGCUGAUAGACAAAGCCGCAGAUUAGUAAGAGCGAAAACGCAGCCGAGAAAAUGUCACAGGAAACUAGGAUUGAUUGGGAGUCGUUAAAGCCCCAUAUAUGAUGCAAAUGAAAUCUAUAGUAAAUUUAGUACACUUUUUAACCGAGAAGUAGGACCCAAUGUGAAGAAAAAGAUCAAACCUAUAGCCAUAGGGCUUGACGCAACUUAUCCAAAACGCGCGCGUCUUCGCUACAGGCAACUUUCUCGACAAGAAUAUCAUAAGGAGCGAGAAACUUUGGUGCUUGAACAAGCGGUGGACCCGCGUCUGGAUACAGUCCAUAUGGAAUAGUGAUACGUGAAAGGUUAACAUCACUACUUGGCGUGACUAAUGAAGGAUCAGGGAUAGGCGAAGAAUAGGAAAUAAGGUGAAGUUUAUGAUUUAAGGAGGUAGUAAUACUAAAGGACUGCUUAAUUAAGCCGUUCGGUUUGUAAUGCAACCCCCGUAGGUUCUCAUCAUCAACCGACUCUUCAUCACUCAAGCUCGCGGCUCCACUGUCCUCAUUGCUGUAAGCAUUUAGGGAACUAUUACCAGUCGUAUCUGCAGAGGGAGAGCGUUUAAGGGAACCAUCGGUGGAAAGACCGUGAUGGUAAGGUUUACGUUUACCCUCCAUUUCUCGGUAGGUUAAGAAUGAACCGCUGACACGAGAAGCACUCCAUGAUUUACCAUCAGUCCAACGGCGCAUUCCAGCUUCCCGUUCAUCCCACACAAAAACACUGCCUGCUCGUAUCAAGCUUCUUUCAUGGUCGGACAAUCGACGCUGGACGCGUGGAAGAAGACCAAUUCGACAGGCCUCGAAAAGGA